AGUUAUAGAUAUUGAGUAUCAUCACAAGUACAUUACCUGACCAUAAGUUCUACAAUGUGUGCUUCAAAGUACAAGUUAGAUACAUCACUUGUCUGUGUUGUCUCUGUUGGAGAUGCAUAUUCGUGUCCAUUUGGGUUCCCCACAUGCACUGCUAAUCAUAGCCAUUUAUUUUGUAUUUGAAUUUUAUUAAAUAGAUGCUUAGAUUCUCUUCAUCAAUCUUACUUAUGUCAAUAUUAUGUUGUUCUAGGAAUGUUUUUUUCAGUAACAUGCUGGAAACUAAUCUUCUUUUCCAGUCAUUCAUUUCAAAAUAUGAGAUAUUUUUCCCUAAACAGUUCGUCGGUGAACAAUUCAGGGUAUUGCAGAUUCUAUAUCUUGGGUCUCUUUUGGUGCUUCCUUCCUACCAGCAGUCCAAUAUACUAAGAGUAAGACCGAGGGUUUUUCUGUAUUAACAGGGGAAAGAAUGAAAAGAAGCACUAUCAGACUCAAUUGGGAUCAGAAAAUGGUGAAGGUUCACCUCCUUAGAAAAGAUUUCUCUUUGGCCUUCUGCGAGUUAACUAGAAAGUAUGUGCUUUGGGGCCGUUACUACAUCAUUCUUCUGGUUGACACCAUGUGGUGAAAGACUGAAAGGUAUAUAGAAGAAGUCUGGACAGGGUGGGUACCAUCUGGCUAUGUGUCGUUAUAAGUUUUUCAUGUUAUAUAGUUUUUUGAGUUUUUCAUUAUAUUGGCUAUAUAUGCAUUGUUUUGACUUUUUGGUUUUGAUGUGCCAAAUGUAAGUCAUUUUAGGGUUUGAUUUAAGUCAAAAAUAUAUUUCAUCCUUUCUUCUGCUUUAGUUGUGUACUUUUAGUAGCUUGACUCCUUUA